UACGGAGGGUGCAAGCGUUGUCCGGAUUUAUUGGGUUUAAAGGGUGCGUAGGCGGCCGAUUAAGUCUGGGGUGAAAGCCCACUGCUCAACAGUGGAACUGCCCUGGAAACUGGUCGGCUUGAGUACAGACGAGGGUGGCGGAAUGGAUGGUGUAGCGGUGAAAUGCAUAGAUAUCUGGAGGAACACCGGUGGCGAAGGCGGCAUCCUGGACCGGCAUUGACGCUGAGGAGCGAAAGCCAGGGGAGCAAACGGG
rnacentral:rRNA from 1 species